rnacentral:rRNA from 1 species
UACAGAGGGUGCUAGCGUUGUUCGGAAUCAUUGGGCGUAAAGGGCGUGUAGGCGGUUUGUUAAGUCAUGUGUGAAAUCCCUCGGCUCAACCGGGGAACGACGCAUGAAACUGGCAAGCUAGAGUACCAAAGAGGGGGGUGGAAUUCCCGGUGUAGCGGUGAAAUGCGUAGAUAUUGGGAGGAACACCAGUGGCGAAGGCGGCUCACUGGACCGGAACUGACGCUGAUGCGCGAAAGCGUGGGGAGCAAACGGG